UAUUCUACUGAGAUCUGCCUUCAAUGUGGAGACCAAUACAAACACUGCCCCGGAGGAUACGUUGGCAGAGGAAAAAGAGGAGAACUAAGGGCACUUUACUCGGAGGAGAUGCUCCCAGGCUACUGCAGCCACUUUUGCAGCCAAAUGAACAGUUAAUGUGUCUGCUCUGUCGCCGCCCUCGUCUCCACACACAACCACACACGCACACACACACUCACACGCACGGACACACGUCUGUCUUUCUAUCAUAGUGAGGACCCUUCAUUGACUUCCAUUCAUUUUUGUGAUUUCACCAUGCCUAACCCAUACCCCAACCCUAACCAUAACCAACGCUGAUCUUUUCCUAACCUUAACUAAAACUUAAUUCACACUAUGCCUCUAACUGGUAUAGUAAGCUUCUGGUAUGCUUCUAAAAAAAGCGAGGACCAAAAAAUGUCCUCACUUUGUAGGGAAAAUGGUCAAAAUGGUCCUCAGUAUGUAGUAUGUACAAGAACACACACACACCACCCUGGUUGUAGUGACCAGGUUCCCCAUCAGUGGUUCUCCCACACCUUGGUUUGUGUUUUGAUGCCUGUUUUUCUUUGUGAGAGUUUUUGAUCAUUCUUCUUGGAGUUCUAGAGCAAAAACUGUAAUGCUCUUGUGGCAAGGUGGAUAAACGAGGGCCCGGGCGGGAUUCGACCCCCAGACUCCCGGGUGAGAGUCAUACGCUCUAACCAGUCAGCCAAAGGGACAUCCCCUUGGCCAAGUAGCCAGGGCGCAUGAUCAAUCAGGACACUGUGACAGGACACACACUGUCACACUCUGUUUGAGAAAGUGAAUCUGUUGGGCUUGUACCUGGUACUCAGAGUACCACACUGCCAGAAAGGACAGGCUGAAAAUAAAAAGCUUUAUUUCCAUCAA